CGCACAUUGCGCCCUUUGGCAUUCCGAAGGGCAUGCCUGUUCGAGCGUCAUUAUCACCUCUCAAGCCCCCCGGGUUUGGCCUUGGACGGUUGGUUGGGCUUCGCCCGACCCCUCCCAAAGAUAACGACGGCGGCUUUGUCUGACCCCCGGUACACUGAGCUUCUUAACUGAGCACGUAUCGGAACGCGGGUCGGCGGGCCACGGUCUUCUCCCCUCACGGGGAAAUUUUUCUCAGGUUGACCUCGGAUCAGGUAGGGAUACCCGCUGAACUUAA
rnacentral:misc_RNA from 1 species